rnacentral:lncRNA from 1 species
CUUAAAUAUGGGAUAUAGACGAGUGUGGCUUUUUAUAAGCCUUAGCACGCUUGUAUUCCCUCUAUAAAAGGGCAAAUUGAGUCACGAUUUAGGUCUCCCCGUACUCAGUAUGCAUGAAUUCCCUAGGUCCAUGCAUCCAUUAUCCCAUUUUUACCCUCAUUACACUUUCACUUUGCACACGUGCACUUUUAUAAUCUUCACUUGCACACGAACACUUUUAUCAUUACUUGCACACAUGCACUUUAUAUUAUCAUUUCACAUAUCAUACCUUGCUCACUCACGUGCACAUUUUCACUUACACAUUCUUGUCUUAUUAUUAUUUUUUUUCAAACUCAUGUCCUCACAUUGCAUACAUGCAUUUCAUUCAUUUGCAUCCCACUCGCAUUAUUCGUGACCUCUCCAAAGGGUCAUUAUUGGGCUUCACAAUUAAUGUGAUUGGCACCAUUCAACCUUUGAAGAGAAAUUUCCC